CCAUGCUAGGUGGGGAGGUAGCGGUGCCCUGUAACCCGCAACCCGCUAUAGCGGGGCUGAAUUCCUCGCCAGCGGCCGGGUGGACGUCUGGACUGCCUUGAGUAGGAGGCGUUGAGAAUCGGGUCUUACGCAACAGACAGUUGUGAACCCCGUCAGGUCCGGAAGGAAGCAGCGGUAAGCAAUGUCGUCUGUGUGCCGUAAGGGUGCCUGGUUUGAGUCUUCUGCUCAAGUCCCGCAGGCGAACACCGGUCAAUGGCAGGUGCAUGG
rnacentral:SRP_RNA from 1 species